AAGCUCGUAGUUGAAUUUCGGGGUCAAUAAGUUGGUCGUGCCAAUGGUAUGCACUGGCUUUAUUGAUUCCUACCCCUUGACGAACUGUGAUGCCAUUAAUUUGGUGUUGCAGGGAAUCAGGACUGUUACCUUGAAAAAAUUAGAGUGUUUAAAGCAGGCUUACGCUUGAAUACAUUAGCAUGGAAUAAUGAAAUAGGACGUUUGAUCCUAUUUUGUUGGUUUCUAGGAUCGACGUAAUGAUUAAUAGGGAUAGUUGGG
rnacentral:rRNA from 1 species